CACACACACACACACACACACACACACACACACACACACACACACACACACACACCCCUCUGUCAAAUAGGUCCUCUCCUUAUGCGGAUCGUGGUUGCAAAGUUUCAACGUUCAGA